UUCUAGGGUCGGCUUCACCGGUCCGAAGUGCUUCGCUGGGCAAGGGCGAGGGCAAGGGCGAGGGCAAAGGCUAGGGCUCCGGCAGGGUUCGUCGUGGGGCGAAGGGCCAGGAGCGGAUGCGGUAAUAGCAACAGGUGAUAAGCCACACCCGGAGAGAAGUUUUCCGCUGUGGAGCCCAGAGUAGCCCAAGUGCCCCUGACGUCCGGCCAGACCCCCAUGGCACUUACGCGCUCAUGAGUCCAAGGCUUGGCAGAACCGAAACUUUCUGGGGCCAAGCGGAAGAGUACUGGAGGGUGCUGUGCGCGGCCAUGAUGCGCAGAGCCCGCUGCGGCGGGGCAAGGACUACAACUCCCGGCAUGCUCUGCAGCCCGAAGCCUACAACUCCCGCCGGACUCCAUGGACAGAGGGGUGAGGACUACAACUCCCGGCAUGCUCCUCAGGACCGAGCUUCGAAAACUUCCCAGUGGUUGGUCCCAAGCCCAACUCUGCCCCUUGGAACUAACGCUAGGUUAACCCUUGCGAUCCCGGCCUCCAUGUGUGCCCACAAAUCAUAGGUCUGCGAUUUAGAAAGCGGCUCUGACCGUGUGUAGCUUUUGGGAACUUGAAAUGUGGCUAGUUUGAGCUGAACAAUGCGUGUGCCGUGGAAGAAGAGAGGAUACAAAGGAAGCAAACAUCUUUCAUAUAAACCAAAGUAUGAAAUAAUGUCAAGACUACAAUGGACACUGAGACUUUGAGAGAUCAGACUUUCCCUCCCAGGAAGGAUCAACUCUCAGAGCAGAAGGCUUCUUCACACAGGAGUUCUGAGCUUCUUACAGAUGCAAGGGGAGAUCGUUCAUAACUUCACCAGCCAAGUUUACAUCUCUAAGCCAUACAGCCCUGGAAAUGCAGUCGGUUUGAAUUUAGAUGAGCUUACGUACAAGUUAUACAGCAGACAUUGAAGACUUAGUACAAAAAUAAGAAUAUAAAA